CUUUAACACUAAUUGGAGAUAAGCCAAUCAGACACACUCUGUGUGUAUAUAAGAUAACCUCUCCCUUACCUCAGUGCCCUGUUGUGGUCUUUGGUUUACCAUUGAGCGUCGCACUUGUUAUUUGGAUUUCCUGGUUACUGAUAUUUGGCUUUGUCUCCCGUUAUUCCGUCUCUCUGUUUCCCUUGACCUCGGCUCAUGUUUUGACUAUCC